rnacentral:sRNA from 1 species
AAUUUUUAAAAAGCAGCUGGGACCUGGGGUUUCUCCCCCAGUACCUGGGUCACCUCAGCCCAGAGCUGGCGGCAGGCCCCCAGCCCCUCAUGUCAGAGCCCCCUGUGUACUGUAACCUGGUGGACCUUCGCCUCUGUCCUCGGUCCCCACCCCCAGGCCCUGCAUGCCCCCUGCUGCAGAGGCUGGAUGCCUGGGAGCAGCACCUGGACCCCAACUCUGGACGCUGCUUCUACAUAAAUUCACUGACUGGCUGCAAGUCCUGGAAGCCCCCGCGCCGCAGUCGCAGCGAGACGAACCCUGGCUCCAUGGAGGGGACACAGACCCUGAAGAGGAACAAUGAUGUCCUGCAACCUCAGGCAAAGGGCUUCAGAUCUGACACAAGGACCCCAGAACCUCUUGACCCACAGGAGGUGGAAAAGUCGGGUCUGCUCAACAUGACCAAGAUUGCCCAAGGGGGGCGCAAGCUCAGGAAGAACUGGGGCCCGUCUUGGGUGGUGUUAACGGGUAACAGCCUGGUGUUCUACCGAGAGCCACCGCCGACAGCGCCCUCCUCGGGCUGGCGGGUAGCCGGCCGGAAAGUAGCG